rnacentral:rRNA from 1 species
UACGGAGGGAGCUAGCGUUGUUCGGAAUUACUGGGCGUAAAGCGCACGUAGGCGGCUUUGUAAGUUAGAGGUGAAAGCCCGGGGCUCAACCCCGGAACUGCCUUUAAGACUGCAUCGCUUGAAUCCGGGAGAGGGAUGCGGAAUUCCAGGUGUAGCGGUGAAAUGCGUAGAUAUCUGGAGGAACACCGGUGGCGAAGGCGGCAUCCUGGACCGGCAUUGACGCUGAGGCGCGAAAGCCAGGGGAGCAAACGGG